AACGAACGCUGGCGGCAGGCUUAACACAUGCGAGUCGAACGCCCCGCAAGGGGAGUGGCAGACGGGUGAGUAACGCGUGGGAAUCUACCCAGUUCUACGGAACAACUGAGGGAAACUUCAGCUAAUACCGUAUACGCCCUACGGGGGAAAGAUUUAUCGGAAUUGGAUGAGCCCGCGUAAGAUUAGCUAGUUGGUGGGGUAAAGGCCUACCAAGGCGACGAUCUUUAGCUUGUCUGAGAGGAUGAUCAGCCACACUGGGACUGAGACACGGCCCAGACUCCUACGAGAGGCAGCAGUGGGGAAUAUUGGACAAUGGGCGCAAGGCUGGUCCAGCCAUGCCGCGUGAGUGAUGAAGGCCUUAGGGUUGUAAAGCUCUUUCAGUGGGGACGAUAAUGACGGUACCCACAGAAGAAGCCCCGGCUAACUUCGUGCCAGCCGCCGCGGUAA
rnacentral:rRNA from 1 species